CCUGGGGCAGAAAAACAGGCAGUCAGCACCAAGUGCUGGUGUUUUGUGGAGUGAAAACACUGAAGCAGAAUGCUCAGGCAUCUCACUUCACGGAAGGACAGUGCUCCAUGAAGCCCACAAAGCAUGGAUGUUAUAGUUCAAAUAAAAAGCUUCGGCAUGCCUGGGACUGUUAGUUAGAGCCAGAAAACACCAGCUCUAUGGGAAGAGCCAACCUGUCCACACCUGCAGAGCGAGCAUGCACCAGAGAAGACACGGGAGAGAGAAGCACAUGACUUGACCAUGCAGGGACCACACAGGACCCUGGCUACAUCGCCUAGACACCAGCCAAAUGGACUAAGCACCUUUACUUCAAAACCACCUCUUCAUCCCACAAGACCCAAGAGUGCCCUCCAGAGCAGGAAGCAGUACAUUCAAGGCAAGUUCUCCACCACUUAGCUAUACCUCAAUACUUGGAGACAUUUUUCAAGACGAGGGUUAAAAAGAGCCGCCUCAGCCCAUGAAGAGAGUCAAGCUCUGCAGGCACCAGGGGCCCACACAAGCUUGUGGAAGAGGCAGCAGGAGCUGACGGGGCUGCAGUCCACACGGCACAGACAAGAACCAAACCAGCUCACCCGGCAGGAGUACAGCAACUCUACUCCAGACUGGCGUCUCUCCAGCCAGCGUGGUGGAUUAUACAAGCCAGAGACUCCCACCAGGAGGGGGCAGAGCGGCCGUCGGAAGGCAGUGCCACUAGUCCAUGUGAGUGACCUCUAGGCCUGCUAGCCACAGCCCCCUCUUCUACUCUGGCUCAUUAUGAAGGGGCCCAGGGACACAUGACCCCAGCACCAAGUUUCAGCUUUCUCAGUGGGAAGUUACAGACACAAGGUUUUAUCUGAAAAGGGCAAACUGAAGGCGGGUAAGAGGCAGUGAGAACUGGGGACCAAGAGAUCCAGACACAACUCCACGGGAUGGAUCUCCAGGAAAACCUCCCAUUUCACACUGGAGAUAAAGUCCUCUUCAUACCUGAAUGUCUUUAAAAGCAAAUGCUAGAAGGACUGUGAUCCGAGGGUCACUGGACUCUGUUUCCCAGCCUCAGCUCACAGUGUUCGACUACGAAGAUUUAAGAAAACAACAGUGCCUCGAUCACCACCAGCACGACUUCCUUCCACCCACACGGCCGACAGGAGGCAGGCACCUCAAGAGGGGAUGGGAAGGCCACCAGCUUCUUAUCAGGACAGGGACAGGCUGUAGCAGGGCCAUCUAGACAUACCCACCCUGAAUAGCAAACCGCACCCAGUCACUGCUGGACAGGACCAAGGCAUUCAGUACAACGGGCACCUCAAACUUCAGGAAAUACCCAUUUGCCUCCUGGCCAGGGCACAACUCAGAACGACCUCCCGAAUAGCAGGAAAGAUACUGUACAAGGGCUUACUGGGGUGAUGAAGGCAGAGGCCCCCCUGGUGCCAUCUGGAUGUGCCCUCCACAGGGGACCGACCACUGCCUCAGUGCUGAAGCCGUUAGCUUAGGUGCCCUUUCUCACUGACCCUGACUGCCAAGGGUUCAGGAAGUGCAAGAGGGAAGGGCUUGGAGAACUAUGAGCCAGGGCUGUGCAAACCCAAGGCAUCCUCUGUUCUUCCCUGCACAGGGUUUGAACACUUGUCUCCGGCCGCAGUUCUGCUGAGCAGGAGGUCUCGCCCUCCAGAAAAACACUGCUCAGAGGUAACAGCAAGGUUCUGCCCCACCCAGUUUUAUGCUGCCUUCUGAAAAACGCUAGAUUAGUUUCACCCUGGCUUCCUACCUUGGG